AUGAAGAAUGCGGGAGAGACCCUAACCGGGCGCCGAAGGAGCAAGCGGGUAUAUGGCCUGUAUACUCGUGAAACUCUCAGGCAAAAGGACCGCAUUC
rnacentral:ncRNA from 2 species